AACGAACGCUGGCGGCAUGCCUAACACAUGCAAGUCGAACGAGACCUUCGGGUCUAGUGGCGCACGUGUGCGUAACGCGUGGGAACCUGCCCUUAGGUUCGGAAUAACUCCCCGAAAGGGGUUCUAAUACCGGGUAAUGUCUUCGGACCAAACAUUUAUCGCCCUUGGAUGGGCCCGCGUUGGAUUAGCUAGUUGGUAGGGUAAAAGCCUACCAAGGCGACGAUCCAUAGCUGGUCUGAGAGGAUGAUCAGCCACACUGGGACUGAGACACGGCCCAGACUCCUACGGGAGGCAGCAGUGGGGAAUACUGGACAAUGGGCGAAAGCCUGAUCCAGCAAUGCCGCGUGAGUGAUGAAGGCCUUAGGGUUGUAAAGCUCUCUUACCCGGGAUGAUAAUGACAGUACCGGGAGAAUAAGCUCCGGCUAACUCCGUG
rnacentral:rRNA from 1 species